AUGGGCCUGAGGCAGUGGCUACUUCUCUUUGAGGAACUGAAGACUGAAACUGUUUGCUAUAAACAACAGAUAUUAGAUGCUUCAGGGGAGACAAAACCAUGGAGGUAUUUCUGCUUCUGUUUCCUCUGCCUGGGGAAAGGAGACCUGGCUUGGCUGUCAGCUUGUCACCAUCCUGCAGACUGGCCACAAGAACAUUUAGGUGGUCCCUGGAAAUUGGGCUGCAGCUGAUCCCUUCUAAUCCCAUGGCCCUGCCAGUGGAGCUCUUGGAAGAAUAGAGUCCACUGGAGAGUCUGAAUCUAGUGGGACACUCCAUUUCCUCUAUGUGAGCACAGGCUGCAAUUCUGGAGAGGUUUAGAGCAGGAUCCCUUCUGCCUGCAGCUGCUCAAGGGGGCAAAAAAACGAAAAAGCACCAAUCUGAUCACUUCUCUAGAACACAUUUUGCACAGCGAGAAGAGAAUGUUUGAAUUAUGAGCAGCUCAAAGAUGAUCUGCUUUAGAGCAGAGGUAGGAAUGCAGUCUUGGAAACUCUGCCAUGUCCUCAAAACUUCAUACAAGAACCUUUCCCUUCUGCUAAAAAUAUUGAUAAUUUUUACUCAGAUUACUUUUUUCUUCUGAAAUUGCCAGCAAGCAUCAUCACUUCUAACAGCAGUGCUGCCAAUGAUUAUUUAAAGCAGAAAUACCACUAAACAGAUCACAGGGAUUGCCUCACUGCCACACACUGUGGGAAAAGGGACAAAAGGGAUGAUGAUGAAGAGCUGAUAAAGUCCUGCACAGAGGGCACGCAGGACACAAGGAGGCCUAGAGAACACUGCUAUUUAAAGUAAUUCCAUGUGCUACACUCAUGGGGGAUCUGCAGACCACAAAUGGAACACCCUUGAACAACUGCUCAGAGAGGUUUGCAACUGUGGACAGUUUUCUUUAUACUGCAUAUCUAAACCCCACCAGCUGAGCAGUACAACAACAAUGCUUCAUCAAAUGAUAUGUUUCCCUCCUGGGUGGAUUAGAUGGUUUACAGUACAAACAAAGCCACAGUACAGAGAGGCAUAAUUAACCGUUAUCCACACGUAGGCAGUGCAGUAAAAGCGAUGCACGUUCCUUUUAUUCCAGUACCUUUGUAUAAUAAAGUUAACAAAAAUAUUCA
rnacentral:lncRNA from 1 species